CGGGACGGGUGAGUAAUGUAUGGGGAUCUGCCCGAUGGAGGGGGAUAACUACUGGAAACGGUAGCUAAUACCGCAUAACGUCGCAAGACCAAAGAGGGGACCUUCGGGCCUCUUGCCAUCGGAUGUGCCCAGAUGGGAUUAGCUAGUAGGUGAGGUAACGGCUUACCUAGGCGACGAUCCCUAGCUGGUCUGAGAGGAUGAUCAGCCACACUGGGACUGAGACACGGCCCAG
rnacentral:rRNA from 1 species